UUGGAGGCAGUAAACAGUUUUGAGCCGUUAGUGUCGAAUUGGCCGGGUGAAAUUUACAAAUAAGAGGCAAUUUACGGAAUGAAGUGCAUAUUUGAACUUCUAAAUAAUAAUAAUUGCUAGAAUUGAAGUUUCAGCGGCUAGAAUUGAGUUUCACUUAUUUAAAAAAAAUCAGUUGAGUAGCCUUGAUCUUGAUAGUAUGACGUAAUGACUUGCAGGAGCGUAUACAUGCUUCCUCUGAGCUAGCUUAAAGUGGGGUUGUCAUUUUAGCAGGGACCUCAGGAAAACUGGAACAGUGAAGAAACGGUGUGUGGUUACAGACUUUUGUGUGAGGUUUUGAAAGUUAG